GAUGAACGCUGGCGGUAUGCUUAACACAUGCAAGUCGAACGGACUCUUCGGAGUUAGUGGCGGACGGGUGAGUAACGCGUGAGAAUCUGGCUUUGGGUUCGGGACAACCACUGGAAACGGUGGCUAAUACCGGAUGUGCCGAGAGGUAAAAGAGAAAUUGCCUGAAGAUGAGCUCGCGUCUGAUUAGCUAGUUGGUAAGGUAAAGGCUCACCAAGGCAGCGAUCAGUAGCUGGUCUGAGAGGAUGACCAGCCACACUGGGACUGAGACACGGCCCAGACUCCUACGGGAGGCAGCAGUGGGGAAUUUUCCGCAAUGGGCGAAAGCCUGACGGAGCAAUACCGCGUGAGGGAAGAAGGCUCUUGGGUUGUAAACCUCUUUUCUUAGGGAAGAACAAAAUGACGGUACCUAAGGAAUCAGCAUCGGCUAACUCCGUG
rnacentral:rRNA from 1 species